GUCGGUCCCCCCGGCGGCGAUGCGUUGUGAACCCGGUCAGGUCCGGAAGGAAGCAGCCGCAGCAGCCAACUCGGGCGCCGGGGCCGGGUCGGCCGG
rnacentral:SRP_RNA from 1 species